rnacentral:lncRNA from 1 species
UGAAGUUCCUAAGGAAACAUUCUGUUUCUCUUUAAGCUACCUUUUCCCUGGUUAUUGAGGAAUAAAUCAGACUUAUCAGACUUACACUUCAAAGGAGGGAAUUUCAAAUCACCUUCUUUUCUAGCUUCUUUUGUGUGGUAAUCAGAGAACGGAGGAAUGGUAAUAAUGUCAAAAGGGAGCUGUGUGACAAAAGAUUUUGCUCCUUGUUAAUUCAGAAUUGAUUGCAGUUGUCAAAGUUGCAUCAGUCAGGGUCCCAGGGGAAACAAUUCAACCCAGAUGGUUCAUGAAGAGACUUAAAUGGAGAAGAGGCGUGAGCAGAGAUUAGGGAAGCCGAGAGAGGUGCAUGGGAAUCCCUCACCAGCUCUAGGGCUGAGGGGACCCCCAGAGGAAGGGCACUGCAGGCCGUGGGGCCCCUGGCAGGAGCCGUGCUCAUAGUGGCACAAGGUGUUGCCCGACCAGGGCACUGAAGCAGGAAGGUGGGGGAAGAAGUGCACCAGGCUCAGUCUCUCCUCACCCUCCCCCGUCUGGCCAAUGUGAAGCCAGCUGGGAGAGGAGGCUGGUGGUGCAGGCUGCAGAGCAGGUUUCUUCUGCGGAGGUACGCAUCGGGCCNNNNNNGGCCCAUGAGAUUGACACAGGAUCCUAUCCAGGUACGCCUCUGUUCCCCUUAGGGCUCGGUGUGCAGAGAAGUAGUUAUAGGAGCCCCAUCUGAGGGGCUCGCCUCAACUACAGCAGAUGCCACCCUUACUCUGAGAUGCACACCCAGGCAUCCAAACAUGGGUGUGUGUGUGUGUGUGUGUGUCUGUGU